AACGAACGCUGGCGGCAUGCCUAACACAUGCAAGUCGAACGAGACCUUCGGGUCUAGUGGCGCACGGGUGCGUAACGCGUGGGAACCUGCCCUUAGGUUCGGAAUAACUCCCCGAAAGGGGUGCUAAUACCGGAUAAUGUCUUCGGACCAAAGAUUUAUCGCCUUUGGAUGGGCCCGCGUUGGAUUAGCUAGUUGGUAGGGUAAAAGCCUACCAAGGCGACGAUCCAUAACUGGUCUGAGAGGAUGAUCAGCCACACUGGGACUGAGACACGGCCCAGACUCCUACGGGAGGCAGCAGUGGGGAAUAUUGGACAAUGGGCGGAAGCCUGAUCCAGCAAUGCCGCGUGAGUGAUGAAGGCCUUAGGGUUGUAAAGCUCUUUUACCCGGGAUGAUAAUGACAGUACCGGGAGAAUAAGCUCCGGCUAACUCCGUG
rnacentral:rRNA from 1 species